rnacentral:rRNA from 1 species
CCUACGGGAGGCAGCAGUCGAGAAUCAUUCACAAUGGGGGAAACCCUGAUGGUGCGACGCCGCGUGGGGGAAUGAAGGUCUUCGGAUUGUAAACCCCUGUCAUGUGGGAGCAAAUUAAAAAGAUAGUACCACAAGAGGAAGCGACGGCUAACUCUGUGCCAGCAGCCGCGGUAAUACAGAGGUCUCAAGCGUUGUUCGGAAGCACUGGGCGUAAAGCGUGCGUAGGCGGUUUCGUAAGUCGUGUGUGAAAGGCGCGGGCUCAACCCGCGGACGGCACAUGAUACUGCGAGACUAGAGUGAUGGAGGGGGAACCGGAAGUCGCGGUGUAGCAGUGAAAUGCGUAGAUAUCGGGAGGAACACUCGUGGCGAAGGCGGGUUCCUGGACAUUAACUGACGCUGAGGCACGAAGGCCAGGGGAGCGAAAGGGAUUAGAUACCCCUGUAGUC